rnacentral:rRNA from 1 species
UGGGGGAUUUUGCACAAUGGGCGAAAGCCUGAUGCAGCGACGCCGCGUUGGGGAUGAAGGCCUUCGGGUUGUAAACUUCUUUUGCUCUGAACAAGGCAUGCCUUUGGGGUGUGUUGAGUGUAGGGGUUGAUUAGCGCCGGCUAACUACGUGCCAGCAGCCGCGGUAAUACGUAGGGCGCGAGCGUUGUCUGGAAUUAUUGGGCGUAAAGGGCUUGUAGGUGGCUGGUUGCGUCUGUCGUGAAAGCUCAUGGCUUAACUGUGGGUUUGCGGUGGGUACGGGCUGGCUUGGGUGCAGUAGGGGAGGCUGGAAUUCCUGGUGUAGCGGUGGAAUGCGCGGAUAUCAGGAGGAAUACCGGUGGCGAAGGCGGGUCUCUGGGCUGUUACUGACGCUGAGGAGCGAAAGCGUGGGGAGCGAACAGG